rnacentral:rRNA from 1 species
UAAUACGAAGGGUGCUAGCGUUGUUCGGAAUUACUGGGCGUAAAGGGUGCGUAGGUUGUUUGGCAAGUUAGUGGUGAAAGCCCAGAGCUUAACUCUGGAAUUGCCAUUAAAACUGCCAGGCUAGAGAGUGUUAGAGGUGAGUGGAAUUUCUAGUGUAGGAGUGAAAUCCGUAGAUAUUAGAAGGAACAUCAAUGGCGAAGGCAGCUCACUGGGUCACAUCUGACACUGAGGCACGAAAGCGUGGGUAGCAAACAGGAUUAGAUACCCUGGUAGUCCACGCCCUAAACGAUGGAUGCUAGAUGUCGGGACAUUAGUUUCGGCGUCGUAGUUAACGCGUUAAGCAUCCCGCCUGGGGAGUACGGUCGCAAGAUUA